GCACUGAUGAAGAGUCCCAGAAUAAGACGUAACGGCCGUCCAGUGU
rfam:Schistosoma margrebowiei strain Zambia genome assembly, scaffold: SMRZ_scaffold0000544